UACUGUUAAAAAGAAAUAGAUUACCAAAGAAAUAAAACCCAAAAAUCUCAUUACCUCAAGUGUCUCCUUCUUUCUCAGGUUUCGACCGUCUCUCUCUUCUCUUCUUCUCAAUUAACAAAAUAACCACACACAAAAAUAAAGACUCUCAAAAUUCUAAAAUGCAAUCAAUUUUGACUGACCGGAAACAGACGGCGGCCGGAGGAGGCGCCUCUAUCUCCCAAUCUGAACCUCCGUGUGGAAUCCCCAACGUUUCAACAUAAAAUGCUCACCGAAGUUCAUUCUAGAUUUAACCCCUAAAUUGGGAACAUUAUGAAGACAUUUGCAUGCGACGAUGGGAUCGACCUCGAGUGGCUUAGCUCGGAUUACUCAAAGUUCUAAGGAUAAACUUUGAGCACCCAUUUGGUACCUUUGAGCUUUGGUGUGCAGGUUAGGAUGCGAUUUCAGCAGAGUGACGGUGUCAAUUUUUUCUCCUCCUUCCAAUGAUUGGAUGUCUCUUAUAUAGAGUGAAAAUGGGUGGUCCUUGAAUCAUGAGCUGGCAGAGGUGAAAGGAACCAUUCCGUUAGAGUAAGAUUUCCUUCUGGAUUGUGUGUGGACCAGCGUGACCGCGACCUUUUGUCUGUAGUGUCCUUUGAAGCAUAUGCUUUUUAAGUGAACCAACCUUGGAUGCUCAUGAAAGACAUGGAUUCUUAACAGUGUCAAUCUAUGCUUUACCUCUCACGCAAAUCCAAGCACCCUUGCUGUGAGGUCGUGAUUUAGACUUUUCUUCUCUUUUUGAUGCCAUGGAACAUAUGCCAAUAUGUGCCUCUGUGUGAUUCUGCUAGGUUGUAUGACAGAUGCUUUUGUUUUGGUGUAAGCGAGAAGAUGAUUUGAAAGAGAGUUGCACACUUGGGAAUAGCUCCAAUGCAAGAUUGAUGUCGUUACUAUGUAUCGCUGAAUUGUGGUUAACGACAAUGUUGCAUUUGGCGUGGAACUUAUUGCAGCUUUUCUAUUGUGAUAUCCCCUUGUUUAUGCUGGUUUUAUUUGUUUUGGAAUUGUUGUGACAUGUGUGUGUCCGUUUUAAGCUUCGACUCUUUCAAUUGUGGAUUCAACUCUUGCAUAUUUAGUGUUUCUGCACGUCACU